GUCUCGCAACCAAAUCUUGGGUUCGGGAGUCGGUUAUGCGAAGGGAAGGUAUUAGCACCCCUACGCAUCCGUAGUACUCUACGGGAUCCACUUUUGUAGUUUCGUCUAAAGGGUGUGGGUUUAUCUUAUGCUGUUUGCCAAAAAAAACAAAAAAUGGUUAAAUGAAAAUGACUCGCGCGGAUGUUGCAUCCACUGCAUACGUAUCUCAUCUGAAUAUGAGAAUCAGAGUCUUCG
rnacentral:lncRNA from 1 species